rnacentral:rRNA from 1 species
GACGAACGCUGGCGGCGUGCUUAACACAUGCAAGUCGAACGGAAAGGCCCUGCUUUUGUGGGGUGCUCGAGUGGCGAACGGGUGAGUAACACGUGAGUAACCUGCCCUUGACUUUGGGAUAACUUCAGGAAACUGGGGCUAAUACCGGAUAGGAGCUCCUGCUGCAUGGUGGGGGUUGGAAAGUUUCGGCGGUUGGGGAUGGACUCGCGGCUUAUCAGCUUGUUGGUGGGGUAGUGGCUUACCAAGGCUGUGACGGGUAGCCGGCCUGAGAGGGUGACCGGCCACAUUGGGACUGAGAUACGGCCCAGACUCCUACGGGCGGCAGCAGUGGGGAAUAUUGCACAAUGGGCGGAAGCCUGAUGCAGCAACGCCGCGUGCGGGAUGACGGCCUUCGGGUUGUAAACCGCUUUCGCCUGUGACGAAGCGUGAGUGACGGUAAUGGGUAAAGAAGCACCGGCUAACUACGUG